ACAUCUGAAAAGCUGCUCCAUGCAAAGCUUGUAAAAGUGUCCUUAUGCUGCAAGUUGUGGUCUUUCUGUGUGUGAAUGAUGGGACAUUGAAGAAGAACAUGAUUGUGG
rnacentral:lncRNA from 1 species